rnacentral:misc_RNA from 1 species
GAUGAAGAACGUAGCGAAAUGCGUUAAGUAAUGUGAAUUGCAGAAUUCAGUGAAUCAUCGAAUCUUUGAACGCACCUUGCGCCCUUUGGCCAUUCCGAAGGGCAUGCCUGUUUGAGUAUCAUGAACACCUCAACUCUCAUGGCUCGCCAUGAUGAGCUUGGACUUUGGGGGUCUUGCUGGCCUGUGGUCGGCUCCUCUCAAAUGGAUCAGCUUGCCAGUGUUUGGUGGCAUCACAGGUGUGAUAACUAUCUGCGCUUGUGGUUUUCCAUCAGAUAACCUUCAGUGAUGGAGGUUCGCUGGAGCUCAUAAACGUCUCCCCUAAGCGGGGACAGCCCUUUGAAUGUUUGAUCUCAAAUCAGGUAGGACUACCCGCUGAACUUAAGCAUAUCAAUAAGCGGAGGA